rnacentral:rRNA from 1 species
UGAAUACCAGAUGCUACGGCGUCGAAGCAGUCUAUGUCAUACUUCCAAGAAAAGCUUGCACUGUCAUAAACAAAUAAUGCCUGUACCAUAACCGACACAGGUGGGUAGGUAGAGUAUACUAAGGGGCGCGAGAUAACUCUCUCUAAGGAACUCGGCAAAAUGACUCCGUAACUUCGGGAGAAGGAGUGCCUUCUUUAGAAGGUUGCAAUAACAAGAUCCAAGCAACUGUUUACCAAAAACACAGGUCUCCGCUAAGUCGUAAGACGAUGUAUGGGGGCUGACGCCUGCCCAGUGCCAGAAGGUUAAAGGAGUUGGUUAGCAUUCGCAAAGCUGAUAACUGAAGCCCUGGUGAACGGCGGCCGUAACAAUAACGGUCCUAAGGUAGCGAAAUUCCUUGUCGGGUAAGUUCCGACCUGCACGAAUGGCGUAACGAUCUCCCCGCUGUCUCUAACGUGGACUCAGCGAAAUUGAACUGUGUGUCAAGAUGCACACUACCCGCGGUUAGACGGAAAGACCCCAUGCACCUUUACUCCAGCUUUGCACUGGCAUCAGGAUUGUGAUGUGCAGGAUAGGUGGUAGGCAUUGAAGCGGGGACGCCAGUCUUCGUGGAGCCUCCCUUGAGAUACCACCCUUCGCACUCUUGAUGUCUAACCGCGGUCCGUCAUCCGGAUCCGGGACCCUGCAUGGUGGGGAGUUUGACUGGGGCGGUCGCCUCCCAAACAGUAACGGAGGCGCGCGAUGGUAGGCUCAGGCCGGUCGGAAAUCGGUCGUUGAGUGCAAUGGCAGAAGCCUGCCUGACUGCAAGACUGACAAGUCGAGCAGAGACGAAAGUCGGUCAUAGUGAUCCGGUGGUCCCAAGUGGGAGGGCCAUCGCUCAACGGAUAAAAGGUACGCUGGGGAUAACAGGCUGAUGAUGCCCAAGAGUCCAUAUCGACGGCAUCGUUUGGCACCUCGAUGUCGGCUCAUCUCAUCCUGGGGCUGGAGCAGGUCCCAAGGGUAUGGCUGUUCGCCAUUCAAAGAGGUACGUGAGCUGGGUUUAGAACGUCGUGAGACAGUUCGGUCCCUAUCUGCCGUGGGUGCAGGAGACUUGAGAAGAGUUGACCCUAGUACGAGAGGACCGGGUUGAACGAACCACUGGUGGACCAGUUAUCGUGCCAACGGUAGUGCUGGGUAGCUAUGUUCGGACAGGAUAACCGCUGAAGGCAUCUAAGCGGGAAGCCCCCUUCAAAACAAGGUCUCCCUUGAGAGCCGUGGAAGACCACCACGUCGAUAGGCCAGAGGUGUAAGUGCGGCAACGCAUUCAGCUGACUGGUACUAA